rnacentral:lncRNA from 1 species
UAAGAUUCUUAGCUUCCAUACAACCUUAAAACCUCAACUCCUAGUCCUAACCCAUACACCCUACUCUGCCACUUUAGCUUGCCUACACUCUAGCCUACACUAUACACUCUACACCAUACACUAUAGUGCCCCAUGAACCUUAGCCUACCCUAUACACCUUAGUUUCUAUACACCAUACCCUAACCUAACCCACCUAGGCCAUACACCUAAGCCCUACACCCUAGCCUUGACCCACAAGAGCCAAGACCUCUC